rnacentral:rRNA from 1 species
AGAAUUUUUCUCAAUGGGGGAAACCCUGAAGGAGCGACGCCGCGUGGAGGAUGAAGGUCUUCGGAUUGUAAACUCCUGUCAUUAGGGAACAAUGUGCAAUCGUUAACUGCGAUUGCAUUGAUAGUAACUGAAGAGGAAGAGACGGCUAACUCUGUGCCAGCAGCCGCGGUAAUAUAGAGGUCUCAAGCGUUGUUCGGAUUCAUUGGGCGUAAAGGGUGCGUAGGUGGCGGGGUAAGUCUGGUGUGAAAUCUCGGGGCUCAACCCCGAAACUGCACUGGAUACUGCCUGGCUCGAGUACUGGAGAGGAGAUUGGAAUUUACGGUGUAGCAGUGAAAUGCGUAGAUAUCGUAAGGAAGACCAGUGGCGAAGGCGAAUCUCUGGACAGUUACUGACACUGAGGCACGAAGGCCAGGGGAGCAAA